UACUCCUCAAAUUGGCAACAC
rnacentral:piRNA from 1 species